UUCGCCAGUGACCUCCUCGGUUUCGACCAUUUAACUACAGGAAAAUGCUGAUGACGUUUCCCGUGUGUGUGUGUGCGCGCGCGGUUGUGCGUGUGCGUGCGUGCGUGCGUGAUAUGGGGGUAGUUUCCCUUCUGCUUACUGUCACAGCAGCCGCACAGACGGGGUUUCUGCCAUCGGAGAGCUUUCUGAAGGCCAGCCGGGCCAUUGGUGGCUCAUUGGUAGGUUUCUCAUCUGCCAUGCUGAAGGCCCAGGUUCGAUACCCAGCCACGGGAUGCAGUGCCGGUCCCAAGUCUGGAUAAAAUUGGAAGGGCAUCUGGCAAAAAACCUGUGAAACCAGCCCGGCCCUGAAUAACCAUCUUUCGGCAGCUGUGUCACAAGAUCCCAGACGCAAGGUCACCCUGCCGAGAGACAGACAGGUGUGCGCAGCCACAGGAACAAAUCAGUCUCAGUGCAUUGCUCACAACUACCUGACACACUUAGCUUAGCUUACCUACUCACCCUGAGUCUGACAGAUGAUGAACUGCUGCAAGCCAUUAACUUUUGCUUCUUAUUCACUAAAGCUUAAAAUAGUUAAAUCUGAGUGCAUGUAUUUUAUAAAAACCAGGAGUUUUGCAAAAGU